rnacentral:rRNA from 1 species
GACGAACGCUGGCGGCGUGCUUAACACAUGCAAGUCGAACGAAGUGGCGAACGGGUGAGUAACGCGUAAUCAACCUGCCCUUCAGAGGGGGACAACAGUUGGAAACGACUGCUAAUACCGCAUACUGAAGGAGGGGAAUGCGUCUGAUUAGCUGGUUGGGGGGGUAAAGGCCCACCAAGGCGAUGAGCAGUAGCCGGUCGUAGAGGAUGAACGGCCACAUUGGGACUGAGACACGGCCCAGAUGCCUACGGGAGGCAGCAGUGGGGCAGCUUCCGAAAUGGACGAAAGUCUGACGGAGCAACGCCGCGGGAGUGAUGACGGCCUUCGGGUUGUAAAGCUCUGUUAAUCGGGACGCGGUACCGGAAUAGAAAGCCACGGCUAACUACGUGCCAGCAGCCGCGGUAAUAC